CCUGAGCAUCAUCCACCCCUGUGUCCACGUCGAGGAUCAACUUCUUCAUCUUGUCUGGAAGAAGGGCGACGCUCCAUGUAGUCCAGCACCAUCAUGCCUCGGGUGUAGGUUCCCUCCAGCUCCACUGUCACUGCAACCUGGAGGAGGAACAUGAGACACUGUUGGCAGCUCCAGGCCUGGAGCAUCUGGAUCUGGGACAUCGCCCAGCCCAUCCUUCCCGUGGUAAUCUCCAGCGUGGCGUUUUCGACCCAGCAGUG